rnacentral:lncRNA from 1 species
AGUUGCUCCGGCGGCGCUCGGGGAGGGAGCCAGCAGCCUAGGGCCUAGGCCCGGGCCACCAUGGCGCUGCCUCCAGGCCCAGCCGCCCUCCGGCACACACUGCUGCUCCUGCCAGCCCUUCUGAGCUCAGGUACACCCCUGUUCAGUCGUUGACCAAGUCCUUCUGGGUUCCAAAGCCCCCUCUCUCCCCUGUCUGCACUUCUGUUUGGGUACCCACUCCAGGCCCCAAGCCCUGGAGUCCCUGUCCCCUUCACCCACCUACCCUAGGUCCAACCAGCCAGUCCCUGGUGAGAGGACUCAGGUGCCCUUUCCUUUGGCCUGCUGCUCUUCUCACUGGGCCAAUUCCUGGUCACAGCACAGUACCAACCGUGCCUGAGCCCUUCCCAGAGGCCUCCUGCUGUGUUCCAGGUUGGGGGGAGUUGGAGCCACAAAUAGAUGGUCAGACCUGGGCUGAGCGGGCCUUCUCUGGAGGCACCAGCACCUUCACUGUCACUGCCCAUCGGGCCCAGCAUGAGCUCAACUGCUCUCUGCAGGACCCCAGAAGUGGCCGAUCAG